rnacentral:rRNA from 1 species
CCUACGGGAGGCAGCAGUGGGGAAUUUUCCGCAAUGGGCGAAAGCCUGACGGAGCAACGCCGCGUGGGUGAUGAAGUCUUUCGGGACGUAAAACCCUUUCAGCAGGGACGAACAAAAUGACGGUACCUGCAGAAGAAGCAUCGGCUAACUACGUGCCAGCAGCCGCGGUAAUACGUAGGAUGCGAGCGUUGUCCGGAUUUACUGGGCGUAAAGCGAACGUAGGCGGUUUCUUAAGUUUGGUCUUAAAGACCGGGGCUCAACCCCGGGGAGUGGACUGAAUACUGGGAGACUAGAGGAUGUUAGAGGAAAGUGGAAUUCCAAGUGUAGCGGUGAAAUGCGUAGAUAUUUGGAGGAACACCAGUGGCGAAAAGCGGCUUUCUGGGACAUUUCUGACGCUGAGUCGAG